rnacentral:rRNA from 1 species
AAGCUCAGUAACACGUAGUCAACUUACCCUAUGGACGAGGAUAAUCUCGGGAAACUGAGCAUAAUACUCGACAGAUCAUUAUGCCUGGAAUGGUUUAUGAUUAAAACGAUUCGUCGCCAUAGGAUGGGACUGCGGCCUAUCAGCUUGUUGGUGAGGUAAUGGCCCACCAAGGCGAUUACAGGUACGGGCUCUGAGAGGAGAAGCCCGGAGAUGGGUACUGAGACAAGGACCCAGGCCCUAUGGGGCGCAGCAGGCGAGAAAACUUUGCAAUGUGCGAAAGCACGACAAGGUUAGUCCGAGUGAUUUCUGCUAAAGAAAUCUUUUGCAAGUCAUAAAACCACUAGUGAAUAAGGGGUGGGCAAGUUCUGGUGUCAGCCGCCGCGGUAAAACCAGCACCUCAAGUGGUCAGGAUGAUUAUUGGGCCUAAAGCAUCCGUAGCCGGCUCUGUUAGUUUUCGGUUAAAUCUAUGUGCUCAACGCAUGGGCUGCCGAAAAUACUGCAGAGCUAGGGAGUGGGAGAGGUAGACGGUACUCGGUAGGAAGGGGUAAAAUCCUUUGAUCUAUCGAUGACCACCUGUGGCGAAGGCGGUCUACCAGAACACGUUCGACGGUGAGGGAUGAAAGCUGGGGGAGCAAACCGGAUUAGAUACCCGGGUAGUCCCAGCUGUAAACGAUGCAGACUCGAUGAUGCAUUGGCUUAUUGCCAAUGCAGUGUCGCAGGGAAGCCGUUAAGUCUGCCGCCUGGGAAGUACGUACGCAAGUAUGAAACUUAAAGGAAUUGGCGGGGGAGCAC